rnacentral:lncRNA from 1 species
CUAAGGUGGAUGUGUUCCUUCUUUUCCUUCUGGGAACACCAUGCUCUGUCUAAGGUGGAUGUGUUCCUUCUUUUCCUUCUGGGAACACCAUGCUCUGUCUAAGGUGGAUGUGUUCCUUCUCUUCCUUCUGGGAACACCAUGCUCUGUUUAAGGUGGAUGUGUUCCUUCUCUUCCUUCUGGGAACACCAUGCUCUGUUUAAGGUGGAUGUGUUCCUUCUCUUCCUUCUGGGAACACCAUGCUCUGUCUAUGGAGUAGGCUUUCUUUUAUUCCUUUACUUUCUUAAUAAACUUGCUUUCACUUUACUCGGUAGAUUUGUCCUGAAUUCUUUUCUUGUGCAAGAUCCAAAACCCUCUCUUA